rnacentral:rRNA from 1 species
GACAGAGGGGGCAAGCGUUGCUCGGAAUUACUGGGCGUAAAGGGCGCGUAGGCGGGCUGGCAAGUCGGUCGUGAAAGCCUUCGGCUCAACCGAAGAACGUCGGCCGAUACUGCCGUUCUUGAGGGAUGCAGAGGGGACUGGAAUUCCCGGUGUAGCGGUGAAAUGUGUAGAGAUCGGGAGGAACACCGGUGGCGGAGGCGGGUCUCUGGGCAUCUCCUGACGCUGAGGCGCGAAAGCGUGGGGAGCAAACGGG